rnacentral:misc_RNA from 1 species
UUCAUUCCAAAUAUGAGAAUUGAUAUAAAAAAGAAAAAAAUCAAUUAAAUUGAAUUAUUGUAAAAUUCUAGAUUCCAAACAGGGUAUACCUUUUCAGGCUGGAUUUUAUUUGGUGAUUAGCUAUACUAUGUAUUUGGUUAUUCUAAAAUUUAUUUGAUUUACACCGGAGCAUUUUAUUAUGUCCAGCGGAGGAUUGCCUGAUCUCAGACUUUUGGUCUUCUGAUUGCCAUGGUCAUAUUUUGCCUUUUUUUCUUCUUCUUCCUUUUUCAUUUUUAGGUCCCCUCUCCAAUUUCUUAUUUUGUGACCAUUUUUUCAAUGGAUUUGAUGUAUCUGUUCUAGGAUGCUAAUUGUUAAUUUGUACAUUUAUUUGCUUAAUGAAUGGCUUUACAUGGUGCAGGAUGAGAGGGAAGUAUUGCCUCCAAAUGCAGACCUUACCAGGGCA